rnacentral:lncRNA from 1 species
UGACCAUUGAGUUACGUUUUUAAGUUCAAUGACUAAGUAGUAACAUAGGGCAAAUUUCAGUGACCAUUCAUAUAAUUAACCCAUUUCUCAUACCUUCUUCACCUCUUCUCUUUGCCUCACAUUCGUUUCUCCCUUUUCAAACUACAGAAGAACCUCAAAAUCUACCGACAACCAUAAAAAAUUCCCCACAGAUCUCGUUUAUCUCAGCCCUUAAUUUGUUCUUCCUCUUUCGAACUAUACGAGAACUUCAAAAUCAAAAGAAAACCCUAAAAAAAUCACCACAGAUCUCGUUUACAUCUGAGAAAUUGGAAUCCUCAGAGGACCUCUUCCUCUUCUUUUGUAUUGUUGUUGACGAAGUGCUGUGGAGGGAAGCUAUUCUACUUUCUUCAUCGCCGUUUGAUUGCAAGUUCACUACACAGACAAUUAGCCACAGAAAAAGUUUAGGUUUUUCAAUAUUUUUUACGAAUCUUGCUCGUUCCUUUAUUUUGUACUUUCUACUUACUUGGGCAUUUUUCUUGGUCAAGCGCUUCAACUCCUAAAAAGCUUAUUCACACAAAUUUGAUAUUCUCAAGAGUUGAUAUUCUUAAGAGAUGAUGUGGCCGAGUUUAAAAGAAAAUCAUCACUCAUGAUUCACACAUGGGCCUCUCCACUGCAUCACCAGUAAGUGGUUUUAUUUUUCUUGAAUAUAUAUUUUGUAUAUUAUUUUACUGGUGGUAUGGAUCCAAUAUUUGGUAUUCUGAUUGGACAUGAGAUAUAGUUGAACCCAGUGAUGUGAAUUUUCUGGAGUACUAUGAAAUUUUGAGAGUAGAAUGAGGUGUUAGGUUGGAUUGUAUUGGGGAGAUGUGGAACAUUAUCCUUUGGUGUAAUUGUGAUAUUGGUUUUGUACGAUCUACUAUGAUACCACUAUGAUUGGAGGACUUGUAAUAGUAUUUGACUUAUAUAAACCAUAAUCUGUAAUUGAUUGAAUGGGGGAAGCAAUGUAACAAUUCUUUAAAAGUAGAUACAUGUACUCGGGUUCUGGGGAGGAUCAUUGUUAUGGCAACUCUGCUUUCUUGUAUUAUCAUAUGCCUUCCAUAUUAUAUUUUCAGGGAUAUCACUAUUUCGUAGAGUUAGAGACCAAUCCGUGCAACUGAAAAAGUUGUGGUAUUAAAUUCAAUCAGUACAAAUAUUAUCUUAUUUGAAAUUUCAUUGAAGAGAAGAAUCAAAAAGCAUUUAGUUGGUUGAAGUUCACAACAUGGUACAUGAUGAAAGAAAUCUUUUGUUGGGAUAUAUUUGGAGGUUUCAUAUGCUUGUCUUUUUAACUUAUAAGUGGGAAUUAACUCAAUAAAAGUCUUCUGUGGUGAGGUUAAGCAGCAAUGUUGUUAGAUUGUCAAACUAUACGUUGUUUUUUGCUCUUUUUUUUACCCCUUCUGCUGCACGGAAUCCCAUACUUAUUCUCUUGAUAGUUUAUUAAGGGAAAUAUGAUUCCUGCCUAUUCUAUUGAAUCCCAAGCCAACUUGUUUGUAAUUGUUCCAUUUGUGUCGUCGAUCCAAUUGUGUCGUGGUAUUGGUUUCUAAAUGAAUUUUAUAUCUUAUAUUCACCACUGUUUUUGUGGGAAUUGCUUGUAGAUUGCUUGAAACCAAAAUGUAUCAUUUGCUUAUGCAUUGUGUCAUAAAUGUGCCAGCCUGAAAGAAAUACAUUUAUUGUGUUCAGAACUACUUUGAAAUUUCCAGUUCGUCGUGUUUAACAUUUGGUCAAGCUUUAAUAAAACAAUGCAUAUGUUGCAAAAUGAAUGUAAAAAAAGAUUUUAUUCUUUUCAAGAAACUCAAUAUUGAGCAAUUUUUAAGUUUUUAUUCCUCAGUAUUUUAUCAACGUAUCGUUGUUUUGAAAGAGUAUAUAGCGUCUCAAUCUCUGGACCCGCUGUAACCUGUGGUUCAAUGGUAAUUUUCAUGCAUGUGUGCUUAUUCUUAUCGAUAUUUUAUGCUGACUUAUUCUGAAAUUGUGUAUUAUUUUGACCAACUACCUUGUUUGUAUUUGUGAGGUCCUGUCCUUAACGUGCUUGAAUUAUUCUGAAAAUAUGAUGUAGGGUAUUUUUUGAGUGAUUUAUUAAGUGAGAAUAUUUUCUAUUUCAGGUGGAGACCAUAAAUUUUACACUGGAGGAAUUUCUGGACAAGAAUGAAAUAAUUCAAGAAUGCAGAUCUCUUAAUGAACGUCUUAUUAAAUUGUAAGCUUCUGAUUCUCUCAUCAUUCUAAAAUUUUAUAAUAAUUGCUUUUGAUUCUUUUGUAUUCCAUUAGAUAUAGUUCUAGACUACUACCAUAUCGUCCCUUUUAAUAAAUUUCCCUAGCAUAAUUUGAUCACGAGAACAAUUUUUAGCUCAUAGUUUCACUAAAUAUUUUUCAAGCUUUCAACGAAGAGCAAGUCUUGCGAAAAAAUAUACUGGACAAGAAAUUCGAAAGUUCAAGAAAUUGAUGAUACAACAAUGGGAUUCAGGCUUCUGAGGUUGCACAGGUAUAAGGUUUUUGCACGUAGAGUUUUUGACUUCUAAAAAUCAUGACGGCAAAGUAAUGUAAAUAACAAAAGUACAAUUCACCAAUGUUUGUUGGGAUUGAUCAAUUCAUUUGGAUUAAAAUGGCAGAAGUAAUGUUAUAAUUUCAAGGAAAUCUUAUCUAUAAGUAUGCUUGCGUGUGCUAUUUAGGGAAAAAAUGUAUCUCAUUGUUGUUGUUUUGCAGGUGAAGUGUCUAGCAUAUGCAAAAAUGUGUUCUUCAAUUGUCUCUAAACUAUCGUUGUUGGAUAUAAUUCUGAAACAUAGGAUGACAAUUAUCUAGGAAUCUUUCUCACGAGGCAAAUAUGUGAAGCGUCUUAUUACAUAAUUAGUUUGAAAUGCAUUUAAAAAAAGUAAUGAUAUUUAUGAGUAAAUAGGCAAAAAUUGACAGGUUUACAUCUUUUUGAUAUGGAAUUAUUUUAUGAAUUUCUUCGUCCUAAUUGAUAUCUUGUAAAUCAUGGCAUUUAAUUAAAAUUUUACGAGUUAAUGAAUCUUUUUAAUGAAAAUAAUGUGAACUUACGAUUUUCACCUUUGACAUAUAAAAUAUGUUAACCAAUAUGUUCCUCAUUUCAAGGAUUGGUGCUUGCAACCCUUCUUGUCAUUACUCCUUGUGUGCAUCAAAGCAGUGUCACUUAUGGACUCUUGAAUGGUGAAUGAGUUUUUUUGGGCCAAAAAGUUGCUUGGUGCAAGAACUUGGGUCUUGAAGAAGGCAUGUAGGUAUGGUUUUUGAAAGAUAACAUGACUAUGUGGCAAAUGAUUUUUUAAGUAAUGGUACUACUUCGUUGCCAAGCGGGUAAUUUGUUUGAAGCUCUAAGGUAAUGAUGAAUGUGUUAUAUGUUGUUUUCUUCUCAUGGGAUUAAACUUUUGACCAGCCAUGCAUCUCAUUUGGAAAUAAGGUGUGCGGGCCAUGUAAAUGUUUUCUAGGAUGAUGUGCAGUUUGGUUUGAGUACUCAGAUAGAACUAGCAGUAAAUCUGACAUUUUAUAAAAUCUUUGUAAGUUGGAGAACAAUUUAAUGAUGAUGAGGGAUGAGGAGUAAAAUGGCCUCAAAAGAGAAGAUAUUGGCCGCUGAUUAUAUUUGAUUGGAGUUGGACUUUCCACUCCUUGAAAUUCAGGUUUGUUGCAAAUUUCUAUGCUGAUGAAGUUUUGAUUGAUGUUUUUUUAUAACAUUUCCCUUCUUUGUGAUACAUCCUUCAUUAGAUGCUUACAAUCCUCGACUCCUCAUUUUUCUUACUGUUCAAAUGUUGACCUUAAGAGUUUUUCAUAGGACAACAUCAUGUUGGUCUUUAUUUUUGCUCAACAAACAACAGUGUGAUCACAAUUCCAUGUCCAUGAAUUUCUUGAUACUAUUCUAUCUCUACAUAGUACAAUACAUCAAAGCAUAGUGGAAAUAGUGUUUUUUGACUCGGGCUUUGAAAAUGUCACAAAAGAGGUAGUAGCAAGAGGAGGCCAAGUUUUGAUUUGAAGGCACUCCCCUUGAGGACAAACAGCAUCGAAAAGCGCCUUCUUUUAAGAAGGUAGAGCAAGUUUUUAUUCCUUUUUAUGAAAGAAAUUACUUUGUUGGGAUAUUAAACUUUAUAUGGAUUUAUGAUGAGAUUUGGUGUUUAAUAAUUUUGUUGAAUACGCAUUUUUAGUUGGUGUAAAUUUGGAGUGGGGUCUCUCAAUUUUGAAUUUUGAUAUUGGUUUUUCAUUUUGAAUUAAUGGAGAAGUAGAAAAUACUACUAAAAAAGGAAGAAUGGAUGUACAUUUAGUGGUGUUGGUAGGAGAUACUCUUUGAACAACGA